rnacentral:rRNA from 1 species
UACGAGGGAGGCGAGCGUUGUUCGGAAUUAUUGGGCGUAAAGGGUGCGUAGGCGGUUUGGUAAGUCUUGUGUGAAAUCUACAGGCUCAACUUGUAGUCUGCACGAGAAACUGCCGGGCUUGAGUAUGGGAGAGGUGAGUGGAAUUCCUGGUGUAGCGGUGAAAUGCGUAGAUAUCAGGAGGAACACCUGUGGCGAAAGCGGCUCACUGGACCAUAACUGACGCUGAGUCACGAAAGCUAGGGGAGCAAACAGG